rfam:Brachypodium distachyon strain Bd21 chromosome 4, whole genome shotgun sequence.
AAGCUAUUCCUCCAUCCAACAAAGGAUGUCUCAACUUUAGUUAAAUUUGAAUGCAUCUAUACACUAAGUCAUGUCUAGAUACAUCUAAAUUUUGACAAUUUUGAGACAUCUUUUGUUGGACGGAGGGAGUAGAAU